UGCAUGGGGACCGCUGCCAGACCCCGGGGCGAGCUGGUAGAGGCGGGGCGGAGAGUGGCUUCCGCGUACUUUUUCCCUUGAGGGUGGAUUCUCCGGCUGAGGAAGGACACAGGGAGUGUGUGUCUUGCCUCCGCUGCCUCCUCCUCCUUCCCUCAAUAUCCUCUUGCUAAGAGGAGGUUCAUCAUCUUCGCCUUCAUCAUUGCAUCCAGCAGCUGUCACUGCCAGUGCCACGUGCCUCGUAAGGUAGGGGAGUGGCAGACGACCUCUUUCUGCCCCUCUUCGCCCUUCCUCGCAGUAUUUCCCGCCUCCCCCCACCACCCCCCACCCCCGAAUUUCCUUAAUAAAAAGUGGCUGGCAAAGCAGAAACAAACGCACGGUGGGGAAAGAUCUUGCAUUGUCGGGGAAGGAUACGGAUGGAGUGUAAUGGUUCUUUCUCUACAGCCAUGAAAGAGGCUGACACCUGCACACACAGGAACGACUUAAAAUAGAACUUGUCAAACAGUGAUCCGCUCUGGAUGGAGCUCCCAACAACAAACAGCCCUUGAACUCGCCUACCAGCCUAAAAAGGCUGCACUGUGUGACACUAAGGGUAGUUUGCUGCGAACUACAAACCCCACAUUUUGAAAAUCCCUUGCAGUCUUCAGCUCGCUUUUGGUACCUAGCCGCCAUACCAUGAGGAAGCCUAAGUCGACUGCACGACGACCCACACUGACAGGUCCAUAGCCCUGAUGAGCCCUUGGGUGGUGGCAAGCACCAAUUUGCCGUCUUGAAAUCAGGUCCUGCGGAUCCUAGUCAAGCAGCCCCAAAUGAUGCUGUGAGGAAGAACCCACAGAGAAGUAUAGCAAUAAUUUGUGGAUGGGGCUUUAAAGCAGUCGCCUUUUGCAGGACACCUGCUUCUUUAAGAUAGUUGUAAGAAGACUACAGGCUACAUUUUCACCUCUGAAGUCAUGAGAAUAUGGUAGUAAUUAUCCAAGAUUUUUAACCAUAGUGCAAGAUAUCAAGAAGUUUGAAAUAAAGAAGAGAACGAGGUAACUUUUUGAUCUUUGGGUAAUCAGGAAACGACAAGAGUUUCUGAACCAAACUAUAUUAAUCUCUUAAGUUUUCUGCUUUAUUUGAAAAUUAGGCCACUGCUUCUUUGGCUCCCUGACUUCCCAGAGCACCCUCAUCCUGAGUGUUUUCCUCCAGUAAACACUGGCCUCGCCUAUUGGUUUAUUUUUAUCAUUUAAAAAAUCAAACUGCAAUCACGAGUCAUGUGUGUGGCAGCCUUCUGUCUUAAAGAAGCAGCACCAGCAUACCUGAAGCCCAGGUGAGCAGAGCUCUGGCCUCAAGACGACAGGGUUGCAGCAGAAGUAGGAACAUAAUGGGCCUUGGAAGGGAAGCCUAUGCAGUGUACGUGGCCAGCACACAUCACCACACAAAAUGAUGGCACCUAGAGACAGGGGCAGCACUAGAGGUGGUUCCCGUUAGUCCUGCAGAGCACUUUCUGAACUAGAGGAUGGUCUACAAAUAUGAGUUGUUGAAUAAACUGGUCUCAGUGAGAUGUUGCAGUAGUUCAGGCAGUGCUUACGUACCCUGGAGCCAACUCUCAUGUAUGCUAAGAUUACAAUGAAGAUCAAACAGGACGACAGUCACCAUCAGUGAUGUCAGCUAUAUUAAAGUGAAUAAAAUGGUGGCCUUUGCCAAAAAGCACAGAAGGGCAAUAUGUCAUCCUAAGUCGAUCUAAGUAAAAAGUCAACAAAAUACCUCAAUCCCUCCCCCUACACAUAUGUGAAGUGGAUUGCUGGUCCAGGUCUUGCAGAUGAGGAAAUGAGAUGAAGAAAGUUUACUAGAGACUGUGUCUUCCUGCUGCCUCCUUGCUGCCUGGCGGCUUGGAUACACCCACUUCCUGUGUGACCACACUCUCCCUGGCCACAGGUAUUGGGCCAAGGUAAAUGUUUGCUAAGGACCCCAGGACUCCAGGAGAUUCGUCUGGUAGGAAAGCAUGAGCUAUUGCAAUCUGAUCUUUCCUCUCUGGACACGGAAU